rnacentral:rRNA from 1 species
UACGGAGGGUGCAAGCAUUAAUCGGAUUUAUUGGGCGUAAAGGGCGCGUAGGCGGAUUAGAAAGUCAGAUGUGAAAUUCCGAAGCUCAACUUCGGAGCUGCAUUUGAAACUCCUAGUCUAGAGGAAUGGCGGAGAAAAUGGAAUUCCACGUGUAGCGGUGAAAUGCGUAGAUAUGUGGAAGAACACCAGUGGCGAAAGCGGUUUUCUAGCUUUUUCCUGACGCUGAGGCGCGAGAGCAAGGGGAGCAAACAGG